rnacentral:rRNA from 1 species
AUUGAACGCUGGCGGCAGGCCUAACACAUGCAAGUCGAGCGGUAGCACAGAGAGCUUGCUCUCGGGUGACGAGUGGCGGACGGGUGAGUAAUGUCUGGGAAACUGCCCGAUGGAGGGGGAUAACUACUGGAAACGGUAGCUAAUACCGCAUAACGUCGCAAGACCAAAGUGGGGGACCUUCGGGCCUCACACCAUCGGAUGUGCCCAGAUGGGAUUAGCUAGUAGGUGGGGUAAUGGCUCACCUAGGCGACGAUCCCUAGCUGGUCUGAGAGGGUGACCAGCCACACUGGAACGGAGACACGGUCCAGACUCCUACGUGAGGCAGCAGUGGGGAAUAUUGCACAAUGGGCGCAAGCCUGAUGCAGCCAUGCCGCGUGUAUGAAGAAGGCCUUCGGGUUGUAAAGUACUUUCAGCGGGGAGGAAGGCGGUGGAGUUAAUAGCUUCACCGAUUGACGUUACCCGCAGAAGAAGCACCGGCUAACUCCGUGCCAGCCGCCGCCGUAA